ensembl:lncRNA
UUUUAUUUGGGAAUGAAAUUAUAAGAUGGGGUAGAAACCCCACAACACCUUUGGUUUCGGAAACCCCAUUUGUAGCUAACAAAAUGAUCUUCCAUGCAUAUCACAUUUCUUGGUUUUGCUUUUGUCCUGGGGUUUUGCUUUUAUUUCUUAAGGUUGGGGUUGUUUCUUUGUACUUUUUGUCUGGCACUUUCAUUGUCGAGGGCUUGUUUUGUUUUGUCAACUCAGUGUCUCACUUUGGCCAGGGUAGCCCUGUACUCACUAUGUAUUUAAGGAUAGCCCUGAACAACCUAUUUUCCUGCCUCUACCUCCCAAGUGCUAGGAUUACAAGUGUGUACAAUUGGACCCACCCAUUUGUGCCUCUGCGUAUACGCGAGCACGCCCUUGUUGCUAGGGAUGGAACCGAAGUCCUCACAUGAACUAGGCAAGUACUCUACAACCGAGCAAUAUUUCUAACUCAUGUUUGCCUUUCAGAACUACUAAUCCUAGCCGGCCUCCACUAGACCUGAAACAGUGGAGAGGAUCUGGUCUUCUUUUCUGUGAGAAUGUUUUGAUCAAUGUUUUGAGUUAGUGUGCAAAAUAAUGACUUCCACUGUAAAAUAAUUACAGUUGCAUGUUCUUUGUUAAGACUUAGUACAUGGGGUUGAGGAUUUAGCUCAGUGGUAGGGCGCUUGCCUAGCAAGCACAAGGCCCUGGGUUCCGUCCCCAGCUCCAAAGAAAAAGAAAAAAAGAAAAAAAAAAGACUUAGUACAUGGGGAGAUCACACAGCCAUGUCACCUGUGUGCAGGUCCAAGGACAACUUGUAGGACUUCACUUUUUUUUCCUUGCAGCAGUCCUCAUUAUGGCCUUUUCAUACGCAGGGCAGGAGUCCCUGCAGGUUCUGUGGUCGGCAGGGAAAUGAUUUGGGUGAGGAUCUUGCGUUGAGUACCUGCCCUGACUUCACAUCACGAUGGUCCCUAGACAGCAAAACAAGAAGGCUAGUGAAGAGAAGAACAUGAUUGGCAUUCAGAAUCAGCGGCACAACUUUGAAGUCCUACAGAUCAAGUGCGAGAACAUUGAAAGGAACAUUUCUACAGUGAAGAGUGAAGAUACAGGACUCUCAGCUACUCCUGUACCAUGCCAGCCUGGACACUGCCAUGCUUCUGCCUUGAUGAUAAUGGACUGGACCUCUGAGCCUCUUUUGCUGUGAGACAUAUAGAAAACUGAGAGGCACACAUGGAGAAGACGUGAUCACAGAAUGGAAAGAGCACAGAAGCACCAAUGCAUGCGUGCAGCCAGUGCUGGAGCUGCAGUUUGAGUUUGACAUGAUUCAGGGGCUGCAGGAAUGAGCUAGUAUUCCUCUCCUUCUUCCUCACCCUCGCCUUCCACAGAAUCCACACCAACCUCUUCAUAAUCCUCCUCUAGGGCAGCCAUGUCGUCACGGGCCUCAGAGAACUCCCCCUCCUCCACGCCUUGACCCACACACCAGUGCACAAAGGCACGCUUGGCAUACAUCAGAUCAAACUUACUCCAGCUUCAGGAAUCUGCCUGUGACCUCCAAAGGCAUUUGCAAUCACAUGGACAUACCCCACAGACACACAUACAUGUAAUUAAAAAUAAAAUGAAUUAAUCUUUUAAAAAGACCAAUGUCACAUGUCUCUCUCAUUAAAUAUUUAUACUAGCUUCUAAAUGUGUGUAAUUAAAGUUGAAAUAAGUGUGAGAAGAAGGACAUUACCUCCUCAGUGCUGGUCUUCUGUGACAUUUAUAUUGUAUUAGAUAUUAUAAUUAAAAUUGAAUAAAUAUUAUGAAUUCUUUG